rnacentral:rRNA from 1 species
GAUGAACGCUAGCGGCAGGCCUAACACAUGCAAGUCGAGGGGCAUCACGGAUUGCUUGCAAUCUGGUGGCGACCGGCGCACGGGUGCGUAACGCGUAUACAACCUACCUUUUUGGAGGGGAAUAGCCCAGAGAAAUUUGGAUUAAUACCCCAUAGUAUAUAGGAAUCUCCUAAUUUUUAUAUUAAACAUUUAUGGCCAUUAGAUGGGUAUGCGUCCUAUUAGCUAGUUGGUGUGGUAACGGCACACCAAGGCUACGAUAGGUAGGGGUCCUGAGAGGGAGAUCCCCACACUGGUACUGAGACACGGACCAGACUCCUACGGGAGGCAGCAGUGAGGAAUAUUGGACAAUGGGCGAGAGCCUGAUCCAGCCAUGCCGCGUGCAGGAAGACUGCCCUAUGGGUUGUAAACUGCUUUUACAGAGGAAGAACCACCCCCACGUGUGGGGGUUUGACGGUACUCUGCGAAUAAGGAUCGGCUAACUCCGUG